rnacentral:rRNA from 1 species
UUAUGAAAGGGAGAUGAUGGGUUACACCCUAUAUAAAGAUACCAAUUUUAACAUUAAAAGCUAAAUGAAGGUGGACUUGGACGUAAUUAUAAUCCAAUGUUAUAACGAAAACGAAUCUAAGACAUGUACACAUCGCCCGUCACUCUCGCCUAAAGGCGAGAUAAGUCGUAACAAAGUAGGUGUAACGGAAGUUGCACCUGU